rnacentral:SRP_RNA from 1 species
ACGCAGGACAGUUGGGCAUUCAGGAUUGCAAAUCCGGUCAGGUUCGGAAGAAAGCAGCCGUAGCGAACACCGAGUGGGUCGACUGUCUCCUUUUUAGA